ACUCAACGUUAAUUCUUUAAAAAAGGUGAGUUAAAGUUGUAAAAGCGUGCUGUCUUUGAGCAGAUACUUGAUCAGCUUGUUAGCCUUAAACUUGUUUUUAAGGAGUUC
rnacentral:sRNA from 1 species